UACGUAGGGGGCAAGCGUUGUCCGGAUUUAUUGGGCGUAAAGAGCGUGUAGGCGGCCUGGAAGGUCAGCUGUGAAAACUCGAGGCUCAACCUCGAGACGUCGGUUGAAACCACCUGGCUAGAGUCCGGAAGAGGAGAGUGGAAUUCCCGGUGUAGCGGUGAAAUGCGCAGAUAUCGGGAAGAACGCCCGUGGCGAAGGCGGCUCUCUGGGACGGUACUGACGCUGAGACGCGAAAGCGUGGGGAGCGAACAGG
rnacentral:rRNA from 1 species